GGCAGCGUGGCCCAGUGGAAAGAGCACGGGCUUUGGAGUCAGAGGUCAUGAGUUCAAAUCCCAACUCUGCCA
rnacentral:tRNA from 1 species